CAAGAAGAGAAAGGGAAAGAUUCUGUAAGUAUUGGCCAGACAAACGUGUUUGAGCGGAAACGGGAGAGGUAGGGAGGACUCAAUCCCACAUCCUCGACUGUGAAUGCUCCAGGUAGUGGCUGUUAAUCAAUGACUACAUUUCCCAUAGCCCUUAGGGCAGCACCACCCACACUUCCCAGAGGGCUGUGCGACGCCCGCGUUGACCCUGAGCAUUCGUGGACACUAAAAAGCUCCUUUGUCCACGGACUUAAGGGCCCCAAAUACCCCCGGACCGGUCUCCUUGACAACUCCUUGUUAUCUUUUCGGCGGCCCGCGACCGGAAGCGGGGUGUGCCCGGAGACUCCUGGGAAGUGUAGUUCAGCCUCCCGACGGCCGCGGCCCAGUCAAAUGGCUCGGCCUCCUCGGGCACCAGAACCAAGGGGCGAGGGCGCGUGACCGGCGUUCGGAAGCCACGGAGAGUGGAGGCUCAUCUGCACACGAUCACCCGCAGGCCCAGACCCCCGACGGUUGGUGAACCGACGAGCCCAGCCUGUUUCCGUGGUAACCGGCUGGCCGCAGAGAACUGUGGGAAGUGUAGUUGGGCAGGGCCGGCCAGUACUCAAGGUCAGAAGGGUUGCUGUUAUGCCGCUGGCCACCGCGGGCAGAACGACUUUGCGGCAUCCGGGCGACGUCGUCCCGCCGUCACCUUGGCCUCUGAUCACCCAGGCAGAACAUUUCUGAAAUUAAGCUCAUGAAGAGUUUAUCUGAAACAUAACCCUCCCACGGCACAAGUUAAGCCUCCUUGGGGACUUCUCCAGUCAAGAAUGAAUGACCCCAGCAAUGGCGGGGUCUGUGUCCUUGGCCUCCGCCCAGAUCCAGUCCCAUAGACCGGCGUCCGGGGAACCUCCCAGAGGGGAGGUUGAGCAGCUGGCCUGCCCCAGAGAAGAGUUUCGAGCAGGAGAGACAAGAGAGGAGCCGGGAAGGUGACCAGAGAGACCAGAACAGCCAGCCAGACAGAUGUAAAGCUCUUUGAGGAAGAACCACCCAGUGUCCCUUGGACUCACAGCACCUCUGAGCGCCGAGGGACUUGGGAUGCCAUGGGGAUCGGUGACUGCAUACAGCUGUGGACGCAGACAGAUGGAUUUGUGGCUCAGGGUCAUCACGCAUGGAGACACGCUUACCCUUGACUGAAGACAUGACCUGCCUUCUCGGGGAUGGCUGUCGGCCAUUCUCUUCCGGGUCACACAGGAGGAAGGUGAUCUCAUCUUUAUUGCCACCUCUUCCCCCAUCCCUGACCUGAAAGCUGGAUUAGCGCUGAUGUCCAUAAGGUGGCAGAGGCCCUUGGCUCUGUCUGGGGGGCACUGCUGGCUGUCAUGCAUUGCACUAACCUUGGGAGUGACCUUGACUGGGGAGGUGGGAACAAGCAAGAAAUUAGUAUGUUGGAGAGCUGGCUAGUGUCCUGGUUAAGGGUAGCUGGCUCAGGGUCCACCCCGAAGAUGAACUUGGAGCUCUUUGAGAUCAAGACCUAUGUCUGAAGCAUCUCUAUAUUCAUAGUGCCUCAAUUAACACCUGGCACGUAGCAGUUAUUCAUCCGACACUGGGCGCUCCUGUAGCUGCCAGCAACCAGAGUUACCAGCAAGGAGGUAACAGGAGAACAGAUGUUAGCGACUGUACUGAAAGGUCCCACCUGUGCUGGCCGCCACAAAUGUAUCAUCCUUUACCAUAAAACAGAGCGCUGGGUCCCAAGCACAAAAUGCAGGAACAUCUCUUGUCUUUUGUCAACUGCAAAAUCUCUAUCUCCCCUACAAACAAAACAAAACAGGGACAGACUCUGUGUAUAUAUCCAUGGAUUUAUAUAGCCAUGGCGUGCUCUUCUAAAUGUCUUUCAAAUCUAGUAAGUUAGAAAUGUUGGAGGUGGAGAUGAUAAGAGCUAGUCCCUAGAUCUGGCAUUGCCCAUCAGAACUGCAUUUCCUAGAAAGGCAAGGCUGCUCUGAACAGCUGAAACUUGAACCCAGUAAAGCCUUGAACCCGGUGAAAGGAUGAGUAGAUCAUGGAGAAUUAAGGAGAAAAAGGGAGGGUCCUUGCCAGCCGCCUCUUUGCCUGCGUACCAGAGGCUCAUGAGCUCACAUGGCGGUCUCUGGGCAGGAGGACAGCUGGUCACUGGAUUUCUGUGCUCCUGUCCUGGGAGUUUAGAGCUGGAACGUCACUUAUAGUAGAUCUCCAGAUACCCUCUCAGAUCACUCCUUGAAGGGCCUAUCCAAGGAACAAAUAGAGUAGGAAGUGAUAGAAACAGGCAGAGGAGAUUGAAAUGGCUAAACCAGGGAAGGCUGUUGGGAGAGAGGGGACUGGAGGGACAGGGACUGUAAGCUCUGCGAAGUUAGAGACUCUUAACUCCUGGGGGGCUGGGUGAAAGCUGUUCCAAAGGCCUCUAGGAAAUCGCUCAAGAAACUAGAAGGAAAGCUGUCAAGUGCUUCAUGGGGUGCACCAGUCACCCCCAGCCCCACUCGCCACCAUGGAGGGCCCCAGUGGAGCUCCCCAUCAGAACCGCCACGCCACGCCAGCUCUUUUGAUGGGUGCCAGCCAGCGGGCUCUCCCCUGGGGCUCGGCCCCACCCGAGCAUGUGACAGGCUCUGAGGACAGCAGUCACUCACAUGCGUUUAGUGCUUUACACACAGGGUCUCAUUUAAUCCUCCCAACAACCCUUGAAAUGGGAUGUUUCUAUCCUCACGUUACAGAUGAAGAAACUAAGACCUAGAGAGGUGCAGUAACCUGCCCAAGGGCAUGCAACUAAGAAGUAGAGGAGCGAGGCUUCCCAGGUCUUGCAUGUUCUCAUUUUCGUGUUGUGGGACUUUUCACUCCCUUUGCUGGAAUCACCAGUCCAUUUUCUGUCCCCGUUACGUGGUAUCAUGUUGAGUUAGUCCUGCUUCUCCAGUCUCUUCCGUGGCCUGCCAAAGCCACAAAAUGGUUUCUAAGCUCUAAGUCCAGCGGGUACCAGAUGCUGCCAGGCCCUAUUAAAGCCAUGUUCAUGAGAAAGCCUGGCUUCCUACUAGCAGUCCCUGGAAUUUCUCCUGUGGGAAUUCAGGGGAUAUAUCAGGGCAGACUCAAGAAACUGAUUAUGUUGUUCAUUCUGUAAGUCAAGUAACGGGCCCUCAGAGUGAGUGACCUGAACAACUGGAUCCAGCUGGGCAGGUUCAGCUGCAGCCACAGGUCAAGGGCCUUGAUUUCGUCUGCCAGCCGGAUUCCUCUCUUCUCCACUUGGCAACCACUGAAACGGGACUGAAAUGUGCAAAAUGGCCUUUUCCCUCUUGUGUCCACCUGGCAUCUCUCUAGUAGACUGGCCUAAUUUCCUUAUCUUGUUGCCCUGGGCUCCAGGAGCCACUGUCCACGCCCUCUGUCCUGCCCCACCCCCAUACCCCACCUCGUUCAGCCCAGGUGGCUGUGUUGCAUCACAUGACUCUGCCUCUGUCCUCCUCGAACCACACACACAAACACACACACACACACUCACACACACACUCACACACUCAUGCAGGUCAGUGACCCAGGAUCUGUGUACACUGGUCAACAACUUUUGAAGUCCCCUGACUCAGUGAAUAUUUGGAAAGCCAGUCAGGCCAGGCAGAUUCCUCUUUUAGGAAAUUUGAACCUCCAAAUCAGACUGCAUAGGCAGUGUGUGACAGGAGGUCUCGAGGGCAAGUAAGGCCAGAAGUACAUUGAGGUGGAAGGUUGGAGAUUGAAGAAAGGCAAAACAAUACUUAUCGCUGGGGGAUUAAUGAGCCUCUUUGGGAAGAAGACAAAGGAUGUCCAGAUUAGAGGCAGGGCUCCAGGAAAGGCAGAGAGAGGAGCCAGCCCUAGAGCCUCCCCAGGGCUCGCCAGGCCUGCCUCCCCCAUGUGUAUCAUUGCAGCAGACUCCUGACUUAGUCCCUCUGCUGUCUGUCGGCUCAGAAUCAGGCAUGCGACAGUUCUGCCAACAUGACUUACAGGGAAGUGGCUGGGGGACCUUCUGGGAAGAUUUUGCUUCCUGAUUAAAGGAGAAUGAAGAGGCCCGUCUCUUCCUCCUGCUUUGAACAGGGAUGUUUGAGAUUUGAUACUUGGAGCUGUGGCAGCCAUUUUGAGACCAGGUGUCAACAAGACCAAGGGAGAAAGCCAACAUACCAAGGUUGGCCGAGUAGACAGACCAAAAAAGGCUAGGACCUCGAUGAUACCGCUGAGCCACCACACCUAGCCUGGAACCACCUACUUCCAGUCUUACUGAUCUUUAAAUUGAACUGUCUUUAUUUUCUAAGCACAUUUCUGCUAUUUGCAGCCUAAGGCAUUCUUAGCCAACAUGGUGCUCCUCUGAACUUCCCUGUCAUCAACUCCUCAGAGCCCCCACGACUCUUGGUACAGCUCCAAAUGGAAAAUCAGCCCAAUUUAGCCGCUGGAAACCUUAAUUGUAUGGUAGGAAAUACAGGUCAAGAUUGGUCAUAGCCCACACCGGCAAGCAGCUUGAGCACUUCUGAUUCCCAGAGCCUUCAGGGCACUGAUGAGGAAAGAUAGAUUCAGGACAGUUUCAGAUGUAUGAGCCUGGGUCUUCUAAAUUGCGGCUCCAUGAGGAACUUUACAACAAAUCAGCAUGGAAGGGGUGGGGGGUGGGUGUUAGUCUCUGGAUGCAGAGCCUGAGCAUGGGUCAGAAGGCCGUGGCAGAAGGAGAAGCAAGCUGGAAUUGGCAAAUGGUGAGUUAGGUUGGAUGAAUUCUAGAGGAGGCCAUUGUCAUACAGCAGGGUUUUAUGAGCCCCAUGUACUAGAUAAAGGAAAUGUAUGGCAGCCAGAACUUAACUGAUGGAAAACCAGGCUUUUUCGUUACUCUCCAGCCAGCCUAAGUGACAUUUCAUGUCCUUUGGGGAAUAGGGUGCCCUGACUUGAGGCCACUUCCCACAUUCUCCAUGUUUUGUCCCUUUGCCACCUGGCCCUUUUUUCUUUACCUUUCCUUCCUAUCUUCUCUAAGCAAAGUCAGGAGCCAGAAACGCACAGGACCUGAAUCACUUCUUCCUCAACUGGGGAAUGGAUAUAGUGGCAAGAGCAAGGAUGUCUCCUAGAAGACUUAGAAUCCCAGGCUAGGGAUAAGGAGUUUGGUUGGGAGGUGAGAACGCAGUCGGUGGAUAAGGACUAGAUGAAGCUUUCUUCUGAUCCAAUUUUCAUCACUAUGUGGUUUUUGUGUUGCUUCAACACAAGAAAAUGUGCCUGACCCUUGCUUCAUGAAAAGAGAAAUUGAACUUAUGAACUCUAGCCCUUCCUCUUUAAAUGUCUAGUUUUAAAUAUAAAACAAAGUGAAACUGGUAUUCUCCUCAUGUAGCUGUCAGAUGCAUUCAGAACUGGAGAAAAAAUUGGCCCCCCUCUUUUCCCAUCUCAAAAUAGUCUUCAGCAGUAAAGAGACGUGGCCCAUAGAAGUUUCUCAAGCUAAUGGGGGCUGAACACGAAUGUGUUGCAAUUAGGGUAGAAUUUGCAACCUCCAGAUCCUGCCAGUAAGCCUCGCCCCCUCCACACAGUCCUUUCACACCCUCCACAAUUUAUGGAGUCCUGCCCUUGAAGGUUCAGACUAGGCUGACUCUGCUGUUUGCCUGUUGUAUUACCUCAUUCAUUCAGCAAAACUGGACUAAAUACCUACCAGGAAUAGAAGUUAAGCUUAUAAAAGCAAGUUUAUAAGCUUAUCUUCCUAAGUCAUUAGAGAUAAAUAAAUAAAUAAAAAAAAUAUAUAUAUAUAUUCUAUGAGACAGAGAAUGAAAUGGAAAUCUUGGUUGCAGUGAAAGAAGCAAUAAAGUUUAAGCCCCUACUUAAUGCUUUAAUUGACAAUAAACCCUGAACCCCCUCCCCUCCUCAAAGUUUCCCCAUUUAUCACUGAAGAUUCUCUGAAAUCCAAUAAAGAAAAGACCUGAAGGCUUUUCCUCAUUCUCCACAAUCAAGGCUUUUCUCCAGAAUGAAUUAGUCUGAUUACUGGCUAAAAGCUCUCCCACAAUCUUUCCAAUAAGAGUGUUUCUUUCCUGUAAAUUCCCCAAAGAUGAUGCUCCACGUUGGUUCCACUCACAGGCUGCUCUCCAGCGUGAAUGAGUUCAGUGUACCCCACACCUCCCCCGGACGGCCUCCCCCAUUCAGCACACACGCCUGCUUCCCGUCCCCGUGAAUCAGCCGACAUUGUCCGAGGCUGGAACUCUGAUUGAAGGUUCUUCCUCAUCCCUUCUGCUCCCAGGGCUCCUAUCCACUCUGAAAUCCCAGAUGUCUAAUUAGCUCUGAGCACCAUCUAAAAGCGCUUUCACAGCUAUGACGCGCAUGUGGUUUUUCUCCAGUGUGAAUUCUCUGACGUUGAAUGGGCUUUGCUUUUCCCGAAAGCCCUUACAGUUACGGCAUUUGUAGAGUUUCUGCUGCAUGUGAAUUAGCUGGUAUCAGGAUGCUGCUGGAUGCCUCCUGCAAACGGAUUCUCUCCAAGAUGAACAUCAGAAUGUUGGGGAGGUGGGGUGCCCGGAGAAAAGUGGCCUCUGUUUCAUAAGAAAGAUGUUUUCUCCAAUAUGUGUACUGUAAUAAGGAAUAAAUUCUGAAUUCUGUUCUAA